AUCUUCCGUUUGAUGUAUAGGAGCCCCCGGAACUCCACUCAUCUCCCCCAUCCAUCACCGCACCUCCGCCGUUGCAUCUGUUUCGUCUCCGCCUCCGGCCUCCGGCGAGCACACACAGACGGCGGAGCACCCCUGCAAAGGUUGCUCGCACGCGGCAGCGGUGGAGCUCUACGCGGCCGAGCUCGUCCGCGGCGCGAAGCUCACCUGCCCGCGAUUCGCUCAUGUGUGGUGGCGGUGAAGGUCCGCGCGGUCGGAGCUGGCUCGCGCGUGUCUGAGCACCCCCGCGAAGAUUGCUCGCUCACGGCGGAGCUCAUGCUCCCACCCACAAGCGGUGGCGGAGCUCGCGGCUCCAGCGCGCACGCCCAGGCGGAGCUCACGCUCCCGCCCACAGGCGACGGCAGAGCUCACGGCUAAAAGGCAAGUUCGAUUAGUUGUGCAGCCAGGAGGGCUAGUUCGGGAUCAAUUCGCACCAAUCUUGCUUCCAGAUGUUCGAUCUAUAGUGCGUAGGAAGUGAAUCAGCAUGAUUGGUUUAAUCUGAAUUAGUUUAUUGGAGUUUCCAUCGAUCUUGUUUUCAACGUUUCCUCUAGCUGCUCGAACGAUAUCGGGGACGUGGAGGACUGCGGGGUGUGCGUGCAGCUGCAGGAACCGUGGGGACCGGGAGUGCGAGGAGCGCCAGCAGGGAGGACGCGGCCAAGAAAAGCAAGCCGCCGCCGUCGUCUAGCGAGGAGACAUGGGUGUGCACAAGCAGCGCCAUGGAGGGCGCGACCUAAGAUGAACAGUAGGCAAGAGUUCUAAGUUAAUGUGGGAGAUAACGUGAAUGCUACGUAUCAAUAACGGAGCAAUCUUUUAAUGCCGGAGUACCCGUCGGAGUGAACGUCGGGCCAUAGCGCUGCUCGGCACCUGGCUGGCCACCGCACGCGCCUCGCCGGCUCCCCCACGCGCGCCGCCCUGCUACACCACUCUUGCCCGCCCGUGCGUGCCGCACCGCCUCUGCGCACGCCGCAGAUCCUCUGUAGGCCCACGCAGUGCGCCCCGCACGCCGCGCCGCCUGCUACCGCCACUCCGCUCGCGCCCCGGCUCGCCGCGAGCCCCCUGCGCCAUCGGCCGGCGCUGUGCAGAGCGCGGCCGCGGUGCUGCUGCUGCGGCGGAAUAGGGCGCACCGGCUUCCUGUCCGGCGGAAUCGACAAAAUUACCAGAGCAUCUCAGAAACCAAUUGGUGACCUCACCAAAGCUUGAUUUGAUGUCCAAAUCGACAACAAUGCCUAACAGCUGUGUCGAUUUGAGGUUGCUGUGGUGCUGGGCUUCACGAGUGCAGGCACUCCGUAGCUGGCUCCGGUCACCUGCUGGACCUCAAUAGCCGCCAGCAACGAUCCCCGCAAGUGCGGGGCGCACCACCACCAGCACACGGCGGCGUGCUCCAGGUCCCCGACGGGUGUCCUUGCUCAGCGGCGCGGUGACCGGGAGUCGUGGCACCCGUGGUGGUGGAUGGGCAUGCUGGACGCGCACCUGGCGUCGGGGUCAUGGACACUGAACUGGGAGGGACAGGGGUAAUUUGGUCAUGAAAGAUUUAUAAACACGUUGAGGGGUAUGUAAUGUCAUAUUUUGAAUAAAAUGAAAUUGUAAUGGUACUCUUCGGAUAUCGCGAAUAGUAAUGGUGUAUAUAAAAAAUGUGACAAUUGUAAUGGUAUAGAACCAAUUAACCCUUAAUUUUUUGCCAUUCUUACGGUUGGCCAGCAUUCAAAUGCCAGUUUUACGGAUGCCCCUACAUAUUUGCCACUGGAGAGAGAAGAUUUCAUCAUCUUUUUGCCAAAUUCGUCGACGUGGCGCUCCAUGUAGGACGGCCAGCGUGGACGGGGAGGGGAAAAAGACCCCCGUACCCGUGCGCUCGGUUGACCUAGCCCAAACCCGUCCCCAUCCCCAUCCCCUUCACGGCCGCCGCUCUGUUCGCUUGUUCUCCGCCGCUCUGCUAGCCCUGUUUCCGCUCUAGCUCGCCUCAGCCAUGUCGCGCUGUCGCCUGGAAUCGGCGGCCUCUAGGGGUAGUGCGCCAACAGCAGAUCAGGGGGCCCUUCUCUUCGGCAAGGAGACCGGUUUUCCCCUGAUCCGCUGUGAUCAAUGUGGCCUGGAGCGGGUCAUUGAGCUGCGGUCUUGGACUGAGAAGAACUAUGUUCGUGUGUUUUUCAGGUGCCCAAGAAAUAUCAUUGGGGCGCCUGAUAGAUGUGGGUUCUAUUUCUGGCAACGGGAGUACUUUGAGAAGCUUGUGAGCAUGGGGAAGAUUCCUGUGCUUGAAGACGCAGAACCAGUUAGUCCGGCUGAAGAUGAAGCUGUUUCGAGGCUUAAGGCAGGAAACAUAGCUACUGCCAUUGGAGUUGAAGCACAAUUGGAGCGUUUAGCUAGGACAGUGAAGAUGUUGGUGUUUAUAGUGUGUGUGUGUGUGUGGUUGUUACCACAAUCUAUGUGCUCAAGUAGAAAUAUGUCUGUAUGUCUUGUUGCAAUUCCUAUGGUGGAACAAUGGAAAUUGUCUGCAACUCUAUCUAUCCAGAAUGAUGAUUCAGGUUUCA